rnacentral:lncRNA from 1 species
GCCAGAGUCACCAUCACUUUCAUCCUCAUAAGCUUGGUUGUCUUCUUGAGAUGGGUGUUCAUCAUUUGCAGAUGAUUUUUGGUGUACAUGCUUCAUCAACAAGUCUAAUUUCUUUCUCAUCCCACUUCCACAAUUGAUGCACUUUGAGCAACUAAUAUUUCUUGUUUCUUUCUUUCAAACUCAUUUUGCAUGAGAAUAUGUUAAUUCAGGUCAUAAAAAGUGCUAAAAAUACAUUAUUAGCAUAAAUUAUAUGAUAUUAUAGUAUCAAAUAAAAUCAUAACAAUCAACAAAUAUAAAUAUGUAUAUAUUAGCAUUUUCACGUAACUAUACUUAACUAUUUUCAAGUCACUAGUACACAUUUCAAGUCAUUACACUUGACCAUUUUCAA